ensembl:snoRNA Y41D4B.36 ncRNA
UUUUCCAAUGAUUUCGAACCAGUUUUGGCAAAAAAAAAAUUGGAAAUCUUUCAAUUUUGACCGAAAAUUUUCUUUUUAUUCAAGGAAAUUCAAAAUUUCAAAAUUUUUCAGCCUAAAAUUUUGGGCUGAAAAA